rnacentral:rRNA from 1 species
UACGGAGGGGGCUAGCGUUGUUCGGAAUUACUGGGCGUAAAGCGCACGUAGGCGGACCGACAAGUCGGGGGUGAAAUCCCGGGGCUCAACCCCGGAACUGCCUCCGAAACUGCCGGUCUGGAGGUCGAGAGAGGCGAGUGGAAUUCCGAGUGUAGAGGUGAAAUUCGUAGAUAUUCGGAGGAACACCAGUGGCGAAGGCGGCUCGCUGGCUCGAACCUGACGCUGAGGUGCGAAAGCGUGGGGAGCAAACAGG